AUUGAACGCUGGCGGCAGGCCUAACACAUGCAAGUCGAACGAGUGGCGGACGGGUGAGUAAUGUCUGGGAAACUGCCCGAUGGAGGGGGAUAACUACUGGAAACGGUAGCUAAUACCGCAUACCAUCGGAUGUGCCCAUAGGGGAUUAGCUAGUAGGUGGGGUAACGGCUCACCUGGUCGACGAUCCCUAGCUGGGCUGAGAGGAUGACCGGCCACACUGGAACUGAGACACGGUCCAGACUCCUACGGGAGGAAGGAGUGGGGAAUAUGGCGCAAUGGGCGCAAGGCGGAUGCAGCCAUGCCGCGUGUAUGAGGAAGGGCUUCGGGUUGUAAAGUACUUUAAGCGAGGAGGCGUUACGUGCAGAAGAAGCACCGGCUAACUCCGUGCCAGCAGCCGCGGUAAUAC
rnacentral:rRNA from 1 species